AUAGUAAACCUAGACCUAGCACUUGUGUGCUAGUUCAUAGAGUAAAUAAAUAAUAAGAUAACUUAAAAAUAGAAGUUUUGAUUUAGCCAAAAAUAAAAGUAUCAACCAGGCACAUCAUGUAGAAAAACAUGCAUAUUCUUUCCUCUAUAACCGCCACACACUCAAACACACACAUAGAUACACACACACACACACACACACACACACACACAUGCAUACACACACACAAACCUGUAGGGUAUCUGGAUUAUGAGGCAUAUAUGAAAACUCUCUAUCUGUUUGCAGCUUCUUUCUUAUUUAAUACAAGAAGAAAGUGUGUUCAUGCUCAGAAGAACUGAAGAUUCUGGCAGACAAAGUUAAAAACAAAAACAAAAACAAAAACAAAAAUAAUAUCUGAGUAGUAUCCAGACAUUGAGGGAUCCAGUAAGGAAAGAGACUUACUUUUGCAAUAAUAUAAGUUAAUAUAGAAUCCUGUUUAUGAUGUAUUUAGUAUCUGCUGAAUGAACCAUUAGCUCUUGUUAAAGUUCUCACAAUAAACAAGUUCUGCCCUGGGCAUUUCCUGGAAAGAGUGUGCUACUACUAAGAGAAGAAAGCACAGAGGAGAGAUAAAGUCAAAUAUUUCCACAAAUGUAAAAAACAUUAACUAACAUAUAGCUUGGUUAGCAUAGAGCCCGAAGAGACUCACUUAGUGUUCUUUCCACUAAUAUUCUAAUGGGGCCUGGGGCUUUGUGGAUUUGAAGCAAUUAUAUAAUCCCUCCUUUUAUCAGAAUUUUAGCUAUGAUUUACCAUUUUAAAAAUGAACUAAUGUGGUCCAAAAUUGAUUUACCUUUGAUUUAUGUACAAUAAGGUUUUAUGGAACUUUGAAAAACACACUAAAGGCACGUUAGUAUGUAAAUUCUAUGAUGAUUAAAAGGUGCCAUGCCAAUGCAUGUAUAACUAGGCAUUGCAGCUUAUGUAAUUCUAUAAAUACUAAGAUGAAAUGCUAAACAAAAUCAAUCAUGAAAAUGCAAGAUAAGUGUUUUGGUUUCUCAGGUCCAAAGAGCUCCUGGGCAAUGUGUAUUCAAAGGCUAAGGGGUAAUCUCCAAGAACAGAAGCAAAUAUGAAAUAUUUGAGAAUUAAUAACAGAGUAGACAUAGAAGAGACUCACCGCUGUAAAUGAGACAUGAUGGAAUUUGUACAAAGGGAUUUUCACUGCUAAUGGCAUUAUCAUUUCACUGCAUUUGCCUUUAUCUGAAAGUAAAGAAGAUAUUCCAGAAGUUUGUGGUUGUGCUUUCUUUUGUUUUGUUUUUCUGCAAGUAUCUGAUGGUCUGAGAUACCCCAUUUUAUCUCAUUCACAAUGGCUAUUGUCAAGAAAACAAAUGACAGAAGAUGCUGGUGAGGAUAUGAGGGGAAAGGACAUGUACACAAUGCUGAUGGGAAUGCAAAUUAGUGCCACACUAUGCAAAUCCCUAUGGUGAUUCUGACAAAAGCUAAAAAUAAGUCCACUAUAUGAUCAAACUACACUAUUUCUGGGAAUCAAAACCCUUUUCUAAAAAGAUUAAAAACAUCUUCAUUAUGUAGUCUUUCAAACCAAAUUUUGAGGUCAAAAACACUAAGGAUUCAGUCUCUGGUAUCAUCUGAAAAAUGUGAAUCCUAAUAUAUAUAUACUUCAGACUAUUAUUCCUGAGAUUAAAUGACAGAACUUCCAGUUUUUCUGUGCUUGUAAAAGUUUCUUCAUAUGCAGUAUUUACCUCCCCAACACACCUUCUCUGUACUUGUCUACCUCUGUGAGUUAAUCUCAAAACUCGUACAAUCCAACAGGAUGGUUUACGUCUAUAUUUCACAUUCCCUAGUUUCAGUCACAAAUGGUUCAUUAUCUAUAACAAGAAAUAAAUAGUUUAAGAAAUAAAUAUUUCUAAAUUAAGCCUGGGUGAUAGAUUCUUUCCUUGGCAAAUACCUUUUUGUACAAGUAAUGGGAUCAAAGUUUGUAUCACCAGAACCUGUGUCACAAUUUUUUGUCUGCAUUCUCAUUAUAGGAAAUCACUGUGGAUUGCGAACAACUAAUCUAGCCAUGUGGUGAGCUGCAGGUUUAGUGGGAAGCAGUGUGUGUGUGUGUGUGUGUGUGUGUGUGUGUGGUGUGUCUGUGUGUGUGUGUGUGUGUGUCUGUGUGUCUGUGUUUGUGUCUGUGUGUGUCUGUGUGUGUGUCUGUGAGUCUGUGUGUCUGUGUGUCUGUGUGUGUGUCUGUGUGUCUGUGUGUCUGUGUACUUGUCUGUUUGUGUGUGUCUGUGUGUGUCUGUGUGUGUGUACUGAAGAAGUGGCACCCAACAGCAACCCACCAACAAACACUAACCCACCUGCCUCUUGGAUCCUAGCAUUUAUAUAGCCCCUGAAAAGUUCCUAGAAUUCUGAACAUAGCACAAUCACAGCAACUACAUGGUGCUGGCAAAAUCAUGCCCUUGUCCAAGAGAAAUCAUGCUGUGGACAAUCUGAAACAGCCCCAUAUUCAACACCUGGGGUUAAAGUGAAAACAGUUUUAUAAUAUUUCUGUGCUUUUUAAAGAACCCAAAACUUCAAAAUUGUCACUAAAGAAGGAAAUAGCAGUGCAGUAGCUGUACUGUGCACUGAGGGUGAUGAUGCACAAACAGUAAAAUAAGCUAUACUGAGAAAGACCCCACUCUACCUUUCUCACAAUGUGGUUGUAGGCUGUUGUUAUUAUUGUGACUGUCUACUGAAUCUAAUGUGACAUUAGUGCAUAGAUUAGUAUAUAUAAGAAAAACCUAUUUAAGGAUCAGUUAUAUCUGCCUCCAGGUAUUGUGUCGAGUCAGGGAACAUGUUUCUACUCAUCAGGUGGAACAGAUCUCCUUAGCCGAAAUCCAAUUGGAAGCCUUUGAUGUGGUAUAGAAGGAGCUGGUUUUUCUGGUAAAUGCAUUUCUAUAAUGUUUGUUUACUAAAUAAAGAAAUUUAAAUAAUCCCAAAUCCAUUUUAAGAUCAAUACCCAUCUGUCUCUUAAAUUCAUCUUAUUUUGCUUCAGAAACUUUUCAUAGGAAUCACGAAUGAAAGCACAGUAUAGUCUUUUAUUUUUAGAAUAAUUAUUAUAAUCAUAAACUUUUACUGCCAAUCAAAUUCAAGCUAGAAUAUUAGUUCUUCCCUAAUUUGCAAAAAAAAAAAAAUCACAUGUGUAUACCUAUGCAAGAACACUUUGUCUUUUAGCGAAUCUGGGUGUCAUUACUGGUAGGAAAAGAAAAAAAAUUAAAUGAAGCCUUUGUAGUCCUGUUGCUCUGUCAGUGUUUGUAAACACACACCAUCAUCUUAAACUGUGGGAAACAAAACACGCAAAAAAAUGAUGAAUCUCUUAUGAUCACAUACACGUGGAUUAUAAUAACUCUGCGCAUGACACACAUAGUCUAUGAGGGAUUAGGAUGUGAAACAAUGUCUGUACAAAGUAAUGUACUGUUUAGCUUAGGAAGAGACUUACCAAUGCAGCUAUGAGCAGAAUACCUCUUCAGUUUCUUAUAUACUUCAUCAAAAAAUCUUAUAAAUUUAAAGGAUAAAAUAUCUAGUUUACUUAUAUAAAUACAAGACAAGAUCUGGGCAACACUUGUGUCCUCCAUCGUGCAUUCCAGUUAUUAACCAUUAAUCAAAUUUAUUGUAAAGGUACUAAGUGUUUCCUUAUACUGACUAUGU
rnacentral:lncRNA from 1 species